GAUGAACGCUGGCGGCGUGCCUAAUACAUGCAAGUCGAGCGAAUGGAUUAAGAGCUUGCUCUUAUGAAGUUAGCGGCGGACGGGUGAGUAACACGUGGGUAACCUGCCCAUAAGACUGGGCUAACUCCGGGAAACCGGGGCUAAUACCGGAUAACAUUUUGAACCGCAGGGUUCGAAAUUGAAAGGCGGCUUCGGCUGUCACUUAUGGAUGAACCCGAGUCGCAUUAGCUAGUUGGUGAGGUAACGGCUCACCCAGGCAAGAAUGCGUGGCCGGCCUGAGAGGGGGAUCGACCACACUGGGGCUGAGACACGCCCCAGACUACUACGGGGGGCAGCAGGAGGGAAUCUUCCGCAAUGGACGAAAGUCUGACGGAGCAACGCCGCGUGAGUGAUGAAGGCUUUCGGGUCGUAAAACUCUGUUGUUAGGGAAGAACAAGUGCUAGUUGAAUAAGCUGGCACCUUGACGGUACCUAACCAGAAAGCCACGGCUAACUACGUGCCAGCAGCCGCCGUAA
rnacentral:rRNA from 1 species